rnacentral:lncRNA from 1 species
AACUCUUUGUCUCACCAAACUAGACUUGGGUGCAAUUGUUUAAUUGGUCUGUGUGGCUUGGCUUCCCCUGCUGAGCUGAGUAGACCUGCGAUAUUUGUCUCCCUAGGAAAUGUCUGUCACACAACAGAUGACCCUAGGACAGAGUCUUCUGGACCUGGCCUGGGUCCUUAGCCCAUCCCGAGGCAGCUGGGGCCAGGAGGGGUAGUCCGAUUGACCGAGCCUGAGUCACCUGCUCAUCUCUGGUUCAGAUUGUUGUGAGCUGUUGUAUUGGUUACUCGGCUGUUACUGUGUUAAAACUCCGUGACCAAAAAGCUACUGGAGAAAGAAAGAGUGGUCAGGCAGAACUUGGGAGGUUAGAGGCAGGCGGAUCUCUGAGUUCAAGGCCAGCGUGGUCUACAGAGAAGUUCCAGGACAGGUUGGGCUACACAGAUAAAGUUAAUUUUAGCAUGCAGUCUCUGAGGUCUGGAGUCCAACAUGAUGGGAAGGACAGCACUAGGCAGGAAAGGCAUGGCUGGGGCAAGAAGCUGGCUGAUCCCAGUUUCAUCCUGGUACAGGAAGGGGAGGGAAGGAGAGAGGGAGGGGGGAAGGAGAUAGAUAAGCCUAUAAAUCCUCAAAGCUCGCUUUCAGUGACAUACUUCCUCUGGUAAGGCUCCACCUUCUAAAGGUUCCAUAACCUCCCCCGAACUGUGCCAGCCACUGGGGACCAUGUGUAUAAUUAUACGAGUUUAUAAGGAAAGGGCAUUUCUCGUUCAGACCACAAAAGCAGAAACAAAGAACUCCACGUGCCACAGGUAAAGACGCGAUCUCACCAAAUUCGAUGCAGAAGCUGAGCAGUCACACCUUCACCCCCCAGGUCAACCAGCAUUGUGUCAGGAUGUGUUAGCCAGUGAGCUGCAGUGCUGGUGUGAUCAGAGCAUGAUGUCAGAGCCACUGCGGCCUUUCAGCGUUGUAUAAACACUGGCGCUUUACAGAGGGCUCUACUGCAACUGGUAGAAAAUCCUUGCCAGUGGGAGAGAGAAAAAGCCUCAAAUGCCUGGAAAAGUCCGAGCGGGAGAUCCACAGUGUGUGGGCGUUUUCUACACAACCCUGUACUAAGACAAGGAUCUAAGUUCAGCCCAGCACUCAGGGUCUUGACUAAGUCUGACACAGUGUUUCAGUUUGAAUAUCAAACACAAAGGCCGGAAGGUUGGAGGCUUGGCUGCCCGCUGAUGAACUGUGGGACAUGGUUGGGCCUUCAGGGCUCUGACCUCAUCAGUGUGUGAAUCCCCGGAUGUGCUCUCCAAGGGCCUUGUCACCUAUCUGAGAUAUGCAAUCUGCAGGGUGGAGCCCUCUCUCCAGGUGACAGCCUUCCCUGGAGCAGCAUCUUCAACUCCCUGAUCAAGGAUGGUUUCCUCUCCAGCGGCAAGCUUGCAUCCUGCCCCUAGAGGCUCGUCUUCAAGGACAGAACUCUGUGGAUACGGAACAGGAUUGUACCUGCUCAUAGCUUCCCUGACAUCUAAACUCAGCCCCUAGUUUCGUGCAGAGCUGUAGCUGAACCACUUUCGUGCAUUGAAAGGGCUUGCUUCAAGGGCUACUCCUCCGUGCUUUGAGAGGGCUCUUCUCAAGUGCUCCUCUUCAUCAAUAAACUUGCUAACUGCUUCCCUAAGACUGGAUCUGAACUUCUUCUCUAUGGUGGAUGUUAAGGACCCCAGGGGCUGUAAGGUCUCCUCAGGCUACACUGCCAGCAACAUCGAAUUCCGUUUCCUAAUGACAGUAACAAACCCUCCUUCUAGAAAUCAGUGGC